rnacentral:tRNA from 1 species
GUGCAGGUGGUCGGCGGCCGGGUGGCCACCGGCUCGGAGCUGGCGUGGCUGUGAGCGUCCUGCCGUUCGUCCGGCUCAAACUCCGCAUC